GAUUAAGUUAUUAAGGGCGCACGGUGGAUGCCUUGGCACUAGAAGCCGAUGAAGGACGUUACUAACGACGAUAUGCUUUGGGGAGCUGUAAGUAAGCUUUGAUCCAGAGAUUUCCGAAUGGGGAAACCCAGCAUGAGUUAUGUCAUGUUAUCGAUAUGUGAAUACAUAGCAUAUCAGAAGGCACACCCGGAGAACUGAAACAUCUUAGUACCCGGAGGAAGAGAAAGAAAAUUCGAUUCCCUUAGUAGCGGCGAGCGAAACGGGAAGAGCCCAAACCAAAAAGCUUGCUUGUUGGGGUUGUAGGACACUCUAUACGGAGUUACAAAGGACGACAUUAGACGAAUCAUCUGGAAAGAUGAAUCAAAGAAGGUAAUAAUCCUGUAGUCGAAAAUGUUGUCUCUCUUGAG
rnacentral:rRNA from 1 species